rnacentral:tRNA from 1 species
CGGGGCGUAGCUCAGCUUGGCUAGAGCGUUGCGUUCGGGACGCAAAGGUCGCAGGUUCAAAUCCUGUCGCCCCGACCA